rnacentral:rRNA from 1 species
AACGAACGCUGGCGGCAGGCUUAACACAUGCAAGUCGAACGCAUCCUUCGGGGUGAGUGGCAGACGGGUGAGUAACGCGUGGGAACGUGCCCUUCAGUUCGGGAUAACCCAGGGAAACUUGGGCUAAUACCGGAUACGUGCGAGAGCAGAAAGAUUUAUCGCUGAAGGAUCGGCCCGCGUCUGAUUAGCUAGUUGGUGGGGUAAUGGCCCACCAAGGCGACGAUCAGUAGCUGGUCUGAGAGGAUGAUCAGCCACAUUGGGACUGAGACACGGCCCAAACUCCUACGGGAGGCAGCAGUGGGGAAUAUUGGACAAUGGGCGCAAGCCUGAUCCAGCCAUGCCGCGUGAGUGAUGAAGGCCUUAGGGUUGUAAAGCUCUUUCGUCCGGGACGAUAAUGACGGUACCGGAAGAAGAAGCCCCGGCUAACUUCGUGCCAGCCGCCGCCGUAAUAC